AACGAACGCUGGCGGCAUGCCUAACACAUGCAAGUCGAACGAGACCUUCGGGUCUAGUGGCGCACGGGUGCGUAACGCGUGGGAACCUGCCCUUAGGUUCGGAAUAACUCCCCGAAAGGGGUGCUAAUACCGGAUAAUGUCUUCGGACCAUAGAUUUAUCGCCUUUGGAUGGGCCCGCGUGGGAUUAGCUUGUUGGUAGGGUAAAAGCCUACCAAGGCGACGAUCCAUAGCUGGUCUGAGAGGAUGAUCAGCCACACUGGGACUGAGACACGGCCCAGACUCCUACGGGAGGCAGCAGUGGGGAAUAUUGGACAGUGGGCGAAAGCCUGAUCCAGCAAUGCCGCGUGAGUGAUGAAGGCCUUAGGGUUGUAAAGCUCUUUUACCCGGGAUGAUAAUGACAGUACCGGGAGAAUAAGCUCCGGCUAACUCCGUG
rnacentral:rRNA from 1 species